UGAUUGGUCGCUGAUUGGUCGCUGUUUAGCGACUAAACUAAUUAGUCGCUAAAUAUGGUCGCAAAUAUCCCGCGCCAUUAAUUCCCGCUAAAUUUAGCGACCAUUUUAAAUUUGGUCGCUAAAUAGCGACCAAAUAACGACCAAUUUUUGGUCGUAGAGCUUUUUGUUAAAUAAAAAUAUUAUUUUAUUCAUGUAGUAGCAGAAUGGUCGCUGAUUGGUUGCUAUAUAGCGACCAAAAAUUUUGGUCGCUAAUUUUGGUCGCAAUUUCACAGUUUUUUUGUAGU
rnacentral:lncRNA from 1 species